GAGGGUAUAGCUCAAGUGAUAGAGUUCAUGCUUAGUAUGCAUGAGGUCCUGGAUUCAAUCCCUGGUACCGCCU
rfam:Camelus ferus unplaced genomic scaffold scaffold1141, whole genome shotgun sequence.